rnacentral:pre_miRNA from 1 species
CCUCAAAGCUGUUUUCUGGAAUGCUAUGUGAGGGACAAACAGUCCUAUCCCAGCUGCAGUGUUCUGGAAUUCUGUGUGAGGGA